rnacentral:rRNA from 1 species
UACGUAGGGGGCAAGCGUUGUCCGGAAUCAUUGGGCGUAAAGCGCGUGUAGGCGGCUCGGUAAGUCCGCUCUGAAAGUCCGGGGCUCAACCCCGGGAGGCGGGUGGAUACUGUCGAGCUCGAGUCCGGAAGAGGCGAGUGGAAUUCCUGGUGUAGCGGUGAAAUGCGCAGAUAUCAGGAGGAACACCGGUGGCGAAGGCGGGUCUCUGGGCCGAUACUGACGCUGAGGAGCGAAAGCGUGGGGAGCGAACAGG